UUACCCAUGUGCAAAGUGACAGAUAACCAAAAACAUUCAUUAUGGCAUGGGUUAUAACAGCAAAAUUCUAAAAAUGACCUAAACAAUUCAUCAGUGGGGGUUAAGAUAAACAAGUUAUUGUACAAUUCUACAAUGAAAUACUCUGAAUCUGUGAAGAGACUGAAGGUGUUCAGGGAUAAUAUGGAAUGGACACAUAGACAUCUGGAAAUACUAGCUGCCUCUGGGAGAACUAGGUGGCUGGAAAGGAAGAAAACUUCACUGACACACUUAGGAAAUUUUUAUAAUGACUGCAACCACAUAUUGACUCUAAAUGGAACCAGUGGAAGAACUGGCCAGCUUAACCCAGCAUAAUUGCUGAAACAAAAGAAUCACGCACAAGUAAAAUGGGUUUUAAGUUACUAAAUUUUGGGUAGAUUGUUAUGUAGCAAUCCGUGACCAAUAUGCCAGUCUUUUCUGAUGGCUAGUUGUAUUAAUUCAUAAUACAAAAAGAAAAGUGAAA